AUAUGGUCAAAGUAAUAAGAGUCUAUGGUGAAUGCCUAGGAGCUUUAAGGCGAAGAAGGUCGUGGUAAGCUGCGAAAAGCUUGGGGGAGAAGCAAACAUUUAUUGAUCCCAAGAUUACCGAAUGGAGUAAUCCAGCUAGCAAGAUG
rnacentral:rRNA from 1 species